AACGAACGCUGGCGGCAUGCCUAACACAUGCAAGUCGAACGAGAUCUUCGGGUCUAGUGGCGCACGGGUGCGUAACGCGUGGGAAUCUGCCCUUCGGUUCGGAAGAACAGUUGGAAACGACAGCUAAUACCGGAUGAUGACGAAAGUCCAAAGAUUUAUCGACAGAGGAUGAGCCCGCGUAGGAUUAGCUAGUUGGUGUGGUAAAGGCGCACCAAGGCGACGAUCCUUAGCUGGUCUGAGAGGAUGAUCAGCCACACUGGGACUGAGACACGGCCCAGACUCCUACGGGAGGCAGCAGUGGGGAAUAUUGGACAAUGGGCGAAAGCCUGAUCCAGCAAUGCCGCGUGAGUGAUGAAGGCCUUAGGGUUGUAAAGCUCUUUUACCCGGGAUGAUAAUGACAGUACCGGGAGAAUAAGCUCCGGCUAACUCCGUGCCAGCCGCCGCAGUAA
rnacentral:rRNA from 1 species